rnacentral:rRNA from 1 species
UCCUGGCUCAGAUUGAACGCUGGCGGCAGGCCUAACACAUGCAAGUCGAGCGGAAACGAUGGAGCUUGCUCCAGGCGUCGAGCGGCGGACGGGUGAGUAAUGCAUAGGAAUCUGCCCGGUAGUGGGGGAUAACCUGGGGAAACCCAGGCUAAUACCGCAUACGUCCUACGGGAGAAAGCAGGGGAUCUUCGGACCUUGCGCUAUCGGAUGAGCCUAUGUCGGAUUAGCUUGUUGGUGAGGUAAUGGCUCACCAAGGCGACGAUCCGUAGCUGGUCUGAGAGGAUGAUCAGCCACAUCGGGACUGAGACACGGCCCGAACUCCUACGGGAGGCAGCAGUGGGGAAUAUUGGACAAUGGGCGAAAGCCUGAUCCAGCCAUGCCGCGUGUGUGAAGAAGGCUUUCGGGUUGUAAAGCACUUUCAGUGAGGAAGAAGGCCUUGGGGCUAAUACCCCCGAGGAAGGACAUCACUCACAGAAGAAGCACCGGCUAACUCCGUGCCAGCAGCCGCGGUAAUACGGAGGGUGCGAGCGUUAAUCGGAAUUACUGGGCGUAAAGCGCGCGUAGGUGGCGUGAUAAGCCGGUUGUGAAAGCCCCGGGCUCAACCUGGGAACGGCAUCCGGAACUGUCAGGCUAGAGUGCAGGAGAGGAAGGUAGAAUUCCCGGUGUAGCGGUGAAAUGCGUAGAGAUCGGGAGGAAUACCAGUGGCGAAGGCGGCCUUCUGGACUGACACUGACACUGAGGUGCGAAAGCGUGGGUAGCAAACAGGAUUAGAUACCCUGGUAGUCCACGCCGUAAACGAUGUCGACUAGCCGUUGGGGUCCUAGAGACCUUUGUGGCGCAGUUAACGCGAUAAGUCGACCGCCUGGGGAGUACGGCCGCAGGGUUAAAACUCAAAUGAAUUGACGGGGGCCCGCACAAGCGGUGGAGCAUGUGGUUUAAUUCGAUGCAACGCGAAGAACCUUACCUACCCUUGACAUCGUGCGAACUUUCCAGAGAUGGAUUGGUGCCUUCGGGAACGCACAGACAGGUGCUGCAUGGCUGUCGUCAGCUCGUGUUGUGAAAUGUUGGGUUAAGUCCCGUAACGAGCGCAACCCUUGUCCCUAUUUGCCAGCGAUUCGGUCGGGAACUCUAGGGAGACUGCCGGUGACAAACCGGAGGAAGGUGGGGACGACGUCAAGUCAUCAUGGCCCUUACGGGUAGGGCUACACACGUGCUACAAUGGCCGGUACAAAGGGUUGCAAAGCCGCGAGGUGGAGCUAAUCCCGAAAAGCCGGUCUCAGUCCGGAUCGGAGUCUGCAACUCGACUCCGUGAAGUCGGAAUCGCUAGUAAUCGUGAAUCAGAA